UACGUAGGGUGCAAGCGUUGUCCGGAAUUAUUGGGCGUAAAGAGCUCGUAGGCGGUCUGUCGCGUCGGCUGUGAAAACUCGGGGCUCAACCCCGAGCCUGCAGUCGAUACGGGCAGACUAGAGUGCUGUAGGGGAGACUGGAAUUCCUGGUGUAGCGGUGAAAUGCGCAGAUAUCAGGAGGAACACCGGUGGCGAAGGCGGGUCUCUGGGCAGUAACUGACGCUGAGGUGCGAAAGCGUGGGGGAGCAAACAGG
rnacentral:rRNA from 1 species